rnacentral:rRNA from 1 species
UACGUAGGUGACAAGCGUUGUCCGGAUUUAUUGGGCGUAAAGAGCGUGUAGGCGGCCAUACAGGUCCGUUGUGAAAACUGGAGGCUUAACCUCCAGACGUCGAUGGAAACCGUAUGGCUAGAGUCCGGAAGAGGAGAGUGGAAUUCCUGGUGUAGCGGUGAAAUGCGCAGAUAUCAGGAAGAACACCCGUGGCGAAGGCGGCUCUCUGGGACGGUACUGACGCUGAGACGCGAAAGCGUGGGGAGCGAACAGG